GACGUAGGAGGCGAGCGUUGUCCGGAUUCAUUGGGCGUAAAGAGCACGCAGGCGGUUUGGCAAGUCGGAUGUGAAAACCCGGAGCUCAACUCCGGACCUGCAUCCGAAACUGCCCGACUAGAGGUAGGUAGGGGAGAUCGGAAUUCCUGGUGUAGCGGUGAAAUGCGCAGAUAUCAGGAGGAACACCGGUGGCGAAGGCGGCUCACUGGCUCGUAUCUGACACUCAAGCGCGACAGCGUGGGGAGCAAACAGG
rnacentral:rRNA from 1 species